rnacentral:rRNA from 1 species
GAUUGCGGCCAUAGCGGCGGGGAAACACCCGGACUCAUCUCGAACCCGGCAGUUAAGCCCGCCCACGUUGGGUGCUGUACUAAGAUACGAGAGUUCUUGGGAACCACCUAACGCUGCAAUUG